GUUCGGAAUUACUGGGCGUAAAGGGCUCGUAGGCGGCCAACUAAGUCGGACGUGAAAUCCCCAGGCUCAACCUGGGAACUGCGUCCGAUACUGGAUGGCUUGAAUCCGGGAGAGGGAUGCAGAAUUCCAGGUGUAGCGGUGAAAUGCGUAGAUAUCUGGAGGAAUACCGGUGGCGAAGGCGGCAUCCUGGACCGGCAUUGACGCUGAGGAGCGAAAGCCAGGGGAGCAAACGGG
rnacentral:rRNA from 1 species